UCAGGGGGAAGAAUGGGCGCGGGAGGAAAUGCCUGCGUUUUGACGUACCUCCAAAGGAAGCACCGGCUAACUCUGUGCCAGCAGCCGCGGUAAUACAGAGGGUGCGAGCGUUGUUCGGAAUUACUGGGCGUAAAGCGCGCGCAGGCGGCUCUUUAAGUCUACCCGUGAAAUGCCGGAGCUCAACUCCGUGCACGCCGGGGGAUACUGGAGAGCUGGAGACGAGUAGAGGCAAGCGGAAUUCCGGGUGUAGCGGUGGAAUGCGUAGAGAUCCGGAAGAGCACCGGAGGCGAAGGCGGCUUGCUGGGCUUGGUCUGACGCUGAGGCGCGAAAGCGUGGGGAGCGAACAGGAUUAGAUACCCUGGUAGUCCACGCCGUAAACGAUGGGCACUAGACGCGGGUGGGAUCGACCCCUUCCGUGUCGCAGCUAACGCGCUAAGUGCCCCGCCUGGGGAGUACGGCCGCAAGGCUGAAACUCAAAGGAAUUGACGGGGGCCCGCACAAGCGGUGGAGCAUGUGGUUUAAUUCGACGCAACGCGCAGAACCUUACCAGCCCUUGACAUGGCGGCUACGGCCUCGUGAGAGCGGGGCUUCCCUUCGGGGGGCCGUUACAGGUGCUGCAUGGCUGUCGUCAGCUCGUGUCGUGAGAUGUUGGGUUAAGUCCCGCAACGAGCGCAACCCUUAUCUUCAGUUGCCAUCGGGUAGGGCCGGGCACUCUGGAGAGACCGCCGGUGACAAGCCGGAGGAAGGUGGGGAUGACGUCAAGUCCUCAUGGCCCUUAUGGGCUGGGCUACACACGUGCUACAAUGGCGGCGACAGAGGGCAGCGAAGGGGCGACCCCCAGCUAAUCCCGAAAAGCCGUCUCAGUUCGGAUCGCGGGC
rnacentral:rRNA from 1 species